AACAUUUUAUAUGAAAGCCAUUUUUCCAUGUAAAAAUGAACUGUUAUAGGGACCAUCUUUUGAAUUUAUGAUAAUUUAUUCAUAUUUUAAUGUACUCGGGUAAUAUUGCAGGCAUUAUAUCAGCACCAAAUAAAUGCUGUGAACCAGAUAUAUAUUAAGUGGCGAAUAACGUUUCCAAAUCGCAUUUUCUUUUGACAUAUUUUUCUUUUUUUUUGCUCUUUUUUUCACGACCGGUUUGGCCUAGUAAGUCGAUGAUCCUGGGUUUGAAUCCCGGUAAGGGCAUUUAUUUGUGUGAUGAGCACAGAUAUUUGUUCCUGAGUCAUGGAUGUUUUCUAUGUAUUUAAGUAUUUGUAUAUUAUAUAUUAUUAUGUCGUUGUAUGAGUACCCACAAAACAAGCCUUCUCGGCUUGCCGUGGGACUCAGUUAAUUUGUGUAAGAAUGUCCCUAUAAUAUUUAUUUAUUGUUAUUAUUAUUGUAUGUCCGGUAACAGAACUCCCCAGGAGCACUCGGGUGUGUAAGGUCGCUACUCCCCAACUUAUUAUAAUUGUUAUUACUUUCAGCAUUUUUAAGUUGUUCAUCGGACACUGAGGCCAUUGAAGUUUCAAGCUGGCGGCAUCAAAAUGGAGUACCUAGAAACCAUACGGAAAUAAUGAGGAUGCAUCGACAUAAGAAGAAUCGAACAUGGGCAAGAUAAAGUUCAAGAAAAAAGCAAAUAUAAUGUGUACUUGUGUGUAGACAAAGAAAGUUGAAAAAUAAAGCAUAAUUAAUGGCCAUAGAAUACAGAACCGAUACACGAACAUUAAGACUAUUAAAAAUAGACAUAUAGGUUGAUCGUACUACUCGUACUAAUGUAUUUCUUUUGUUCAAUUAUAUUAUUGCAUUAAAGUUAGAUUCUCUAGAUAUAUGUAUAUUAUUCAUAGGUUCUGUAUUCUAUACGAAUUGUUUCAGUGUAAUUAUUGUACUAAAUACCGUUGACCGCCUGUCAACAGUAUUUAUUUCUACAUUACUAUCACAGAAGAUUUUAGGCCCUACAGUAGUUUUUGAAUUAGUAUUUACUAUGGACAAAUAUAGCGAAAUGUGAGUUUUUACCUAAAUUAUCAAUCUUUUGUGAACGUGGUGUAGAGUAUAUACCGCCUAAGACUGAAGUAGCUACGCGGGCAACGUUUUCAAAAUAGAAUCGUGUUCAUGGUCGGCCCAUGGUAAAAAUAAUUAGGUACACGUAGACCCGCUAAAUAAACCCCGUGGACCCACCAGGAGAACAUAUUGGUGAGACUAGAGAUAAUACACCGCUUUAAGGGCGGUCGCACUCGGCAUUGACAUCUGGCGUCUAGAUGGCGGGUGGACCUCAGCGAAUUUCAAAGAAAUAUUUAUAAACAUCCAAUGACGUCCGGCUCGGACACCAGAUCUUCAAUCUCCUGAUUCCUGUGGAGUCUCCAGGUUCCAUCCUCUCCACGUGUGAGUCCUAGGAUUUUUCGCGCUGCCAGACUCCGAUGACUCAGGCACGUAGUCCAGAUGGGUGAGGAUCGUGCAGCCUGGAGGGCGUACUCUGAAGUUCCAAAUGGCCGAAGACCGUCUAGACGUCCUAGGUAGGUCCCGCUGGAGAGAUGAAAUGCAAAAAGACCUUAGCGAACUCGGCGCCGUCGACUAGAUGGAAACGGUUUUGGACAGAGAAGCAUGGCGGUCUUUGGUGUCGGAGGCCAAGAUCCACUUCGGGUCGCUGCGCCAUAGCAGUAAGUAAGUAUUUAUAAACAUACUGUACCUUCUGUGUACCUAACCCAAAACGAGAUAUUUAAGAAAAAGUCCACCCGCCAUUCUGACGUCAGGAUUGCGGUUGGACCUAUGAAAUCUUGCAUUAUACCGCACUAAAAGUAUGCAGUUAUAUGGUACAGUCGCCAUCAGAUAUAUCGGAGUGGCCGAGGUGCUCAAAGAUCUCUAAACACGCACUCUAACCUCUUGACAGUAGAGGCAUGUUCAGAUAUUCGUGGGUACCUUGGCCGCUCCGAUAUAUAUGAUGGUGACUGUACCUUUAGUGUACCUCUGUAAAUAGAAAUAGAAACCGGUGUACCUCUCCCCAAAACAAGCUAGGCUAAGCUCAUGCACAAUAUAACUGCAUACUUUUAGUGCGGUAUAAUGCAAGAUUUCAUAGGUCCACCCGCCAUCCUGACGUCAGGUUGGCGGGUGGACCGUUUUGUAAAAUAUCUCGUUUUGGGGAAAGGUACACUGGUUUAUAUUAAAGGUACACUGAGGUACACAGAAGGUACAAUAUGUUUAUAAAUAUUUCUUUGAAAUUCGCUGAGGUCCACCGCCAUCCUGACGCUUACCAUAUAUCUAAGACCUUAGGGGCAAUAACGAUAGUGCUAGUUCAGUUGUGUCAUUCACAAAUUCGAGCCAAUCGUGCUGUCUAACACAACUAGAUGCGAUCAAUCGCGUGCAUAAUGCGAACUCAUCAACCAAUCACGUUGUGGUACUUGUGGCGUUAGACUGCACGAUUGGCUCAAACUCGUGUGCGUAACACCGCUGUACUGGCCCCAUUCUUAUUGCCCGUAAGGCCCGUCCUCAGAUAUAUUAUGUCAACGACACAGUCGCGAUUUUAAAAAAUCACAUCGCUUCUGCUACCAAAUUGUUGAGCAUAACGUUUUCCUAUCCAUAGGUUCCAUCUGUCCAGUAGGAUCCACCAUCUCGAUCCACCAGAUUGAAGAGAUUGUUACUUAACCCUUUACCAGGCCAAGGGAUAUAUUUCACCCACAUCUUAUAUCGGUUACCGUAGUCAGGUUUUAACUCCAAACCACCUACAAAAUAUUUUGUCAAUCCCUGAAAAUAUUAUUUUAUGAUCUUCAUUCACAACACGCUUCUAAAUUGCGUAAUAUAUCUUUGGCAGCCGUUUAAAUUCACUUGAACGCAAAUUUCAGUAAACUACGGAGAAAUUCGAACACUUUUCAUAAUUUCUAUGAAACAGAAGUACAUAGGUCGAACAAUUUUUUGAUAUUUUGUAGAUUUUGAGUGUUGAAAGCUAAUGUAAUCGGAAACAUUGCUAAAUAUUCAUGCAUUAUUGUGUAUGACCAGAAUUAGGAUGUGGGUUGACAUUAUCCCAUGGCCUUAUUAGAGUUUAACUGUGUGGGAGCUAUAUUUCCCAUGGCCCGGUAAAUUGUCUUGUCAUGUCAUAAAAACUCACGUCAGUAAGUGAUUUUUUUUCAGUGAUUGAUAUAAUGUUUCGUAGGAGAUUUGGAGUUAAACCUUGACUAUUAUAACCGAUAUAAGAUGUGGGUGGAAUAUAUCCCUUGGCCUGAUCAAGAAUAUAAUAAGACAAAAUCUAGUAUGACAGUUCAUUACUUAGACAGGCGAUGGGAUAACCUUAACCCACAUUUUUAUUUCUGGUUUAAAGGAAGAUCUCCGACGUUCAUAAAUA